rnacentral:rRNA from 1 species
UAGGGAAUUUUCCACAAUGGACGAAAGUCUGAUGGAGCAACGCCGCGUGCAGGAUGAAGGCCUUAGGGUUGUAAACUGCUUUUAUUUGUGACGAAUAUGACGGUAGCAAAUGAAUAAGGAUCGGCUAACUCCGUGCCAGCAGCCGCGGUCAUACGGAGGAUCCAAGCGUUAUCCGGAAUUACUGGGCGUAAAGAGUUGCGUAGGUGGCAUUGUAAGCGAGUAGUGAAAGCGUUCGGCUCAACCGAAUACACAUUGCCCGAACUGCAAAGCUAGAGGACGAGAGAGGUUAUUGGAAUUCCUAGUGUAGGAGUGAAAUCCGUAGAUAUUAGGAGGAACACCGAUGGCGUAGGCAGAUAACUGGCUCGUUCCUGACACUGAGGCACGAAAGCGUGGGUAGCAAACGGGAUUAGAUACCCCCGUAGUCC